rnacentral:rRNA from 1 species
UACGAAGGGGGCUAGCGUUGCUCGGAAUGACUGGGCGUAAAGGGCGCGUAGGCGGUGCAUUUGGUCAGGCGUGAAAUUCCUGGGCUUAACCUGGGAACUGCAUUUGUGACUGGCGGGCUAGAGUAUGGCAGAGGGGGGGUAGAAUUCCACGUGUAGCAGUGAAAUGCGUAGAGAUGUGGAGGAAUACCGAUGGCGAAGGCAGCCCCCCUGGGCCAAUACUGACGCUCAUGCACGAAAGCGUGGGGAGCAAACAGG